ACACCCCUUGUUGAGACCUAAAUAUUCAAUGGUUGGGAUCAGGAAAGCUCUUGUCACUUGACCUUGAAUUCGCAGUCUCAAGCUGGUACGCAUCGUUUGAAGUUAUGGGUGUGUUCAGGGUGUUUGUUGACAUUGUGUGGGGAAAAUUUGAAAAAGAUGGUUCUACUUAGCAAAACAAAUUGGGGAUGUGUCUUGCGACUGAUCGCCGCCGAGUCUUGUCGUCCAUUCUGCUGCGACAUGUCGCAUUGUCAACAGGCUAAAGGUGCAACCGAGUUUUGGGGUAAGGAACUAUAUGCUCUGGAGGAGCGUAGUAUUCUUCCCUCUAGUUUUGUUUGUGGGCUACUGUUAUUUCCACCUCGUGAAAAAUUGGGUGCGAGAGAAGUGAAUUACCGUCACUUACCCGAAAGAGUGCCUUUCAACAUGUUGGUUAGUAUAGAUUUCUCCCAUCAGCUAGGUUGUGGUGGGCCCUUGGAAUUGCUAGUUUCGCUUGGAACGCCUGAUUUGUGGAUUUUAGACCUGGAGAUAUUUUCAGCGCUACAACCUUUCGGGGUUGAAUUAUAACUCGCGACUUUUUCACCUGAAAUUGUACUUCUCUUUGUUACGCAUCUGUGCUCAUUAUCCUCUAUGAAGUUGUAGCCACUUGAAGACUCUGCGGUGAGCAUGAUGCGUUCUGGUGGGUGUUGUUCGCUGCAGCUUACAUGUGGCUGCUUUAGUUCCCUCUAUAAAUCUCUCAAGCUAGAUGUACGUUGGUCAUGCUACACUCCCACAUGUUAAACAAAUCUAUUCUACUCUUAUGAAGGUUACCGUAUUCACAGUUGUGUGUUUUCUAGUUGGAGUUGAAACAUGACCUCACUCACGUGAUUUAACAAAACUGCUUCAGUGAUUCUGUAAUCUUUACAGUGUUAAGAUACACACCCACUUCGCUUCAGAUUGAACUUGGACGGAGCUCAGAGAAUGAAAAUGAUGCUGAUUUUUCUUUGUUGAAAUGCCUGGAGGAUGUGGAUGAGCAAACUCACUUGGUUAGUGUCCUGCACUACACGCUCAAUGAAGUAUUCAAAUAAACAUGACUGAAGUAAUAAAGUUGAUUUCUUACUGUGUAAUAAAGCAUUUGAGAUAUGAAGCUAUGUACAAAUAUGGGUCCAUUUAUAAAUUGUAUGUUUAAGAAA